GAGAGACUGGCCUCAAGUCAUGCCAGGCUCCAGGGAUUCCACGCAUUCAGGCACUGAUAAUAAGCAGAGGGGUUAGUGAUGUGACCAAACAGAAGAGUUUGAUUUUAAAUGAAUCAGUCAGAGGUUUGGUGAAAGAAGCAUGCAAACAUCAGCAUCUGAAUGCUGUUCUUCAGUUCAUUUUGCUAUCAGUACAUGCUGAAGCAGAAACAAAGCUAAGAGAGGAAAUUGGAAAGAAAACUUAAUCUUAUUUGGAAUAUGGCAAUGUGCUGAACCACACUGUCGCAGUGGUAUAAUAAUGAGAAGGCAGUAGAUCAGUACAACUGCUCUCCACGACAUACUGAAUGCAGAAGGCACAUAUUUCCAAGCAUAGUUAACAACCAUUAUUAAAAUGCUGUAAGGCAAACUAUUUUCCUCCAAUAAAGCUCUAUUUUUCUACAUUUUCUAUACGAAAGGAAAGUAAUAAGAGAAUAAAAGGUGUCCUGACCUUUUCUUUGUUUUCUCUAUCAGGUAAU